rnacentral:rRNA from 1 species
GAACGCUGGCGGCAUGCCUUACACAUGCAAGUCGAACGGCAGCACGGGAGCAAUCCUGGUGGCGAGUGGCGAACGGGUGAGUAAUAUAUCGGAACGUGCCCAGUCGUGGGGGAUAACGUAGCGAAAGCUACGCUAAUACCGCAUACGAUCUACGGAUGAAAGCGGGGGAUCGCAAGACCUCGCGCGAUUGGAGCGGCCGAUAUCAGAUUAGGUAGUUGGUGGGGUAAAGGCUCACCAAGCCAACGAUCUGUAGCUGGUCUGAGAGGACGACCAGCCACACUGGAACUGAGACACGGUCCAGACUCCUACGGGAGGCAGCAGUGGGGAAUUUUGGACAAUGGACGCAAGUCUGAUCCAGCCAUUCCGCGUGCAGGAUGAAGGCCCUCGGGUUGUAAACUGCUUUUGUACGGAACGAAAAGGUUUCUAUUAAUACUAGGAGCUCAUGACGGUACCGUAAGAAUAAGCACCGGCUAACUACGUG